AGACCGAUAGCGAACAAGUACCGUGAGGGAAAGAUGAAAAGCACUUUGNGAAAGAGAGUUAAACAGUACGUGCAAAUUGUUGAAAGGGAAACGAUUGAAAUCAGUCGUGUUCUUUGGAUUCAGCUAGUUCUUCUAGUCUACUUCCAUUGAACGGGUCAACAUCAGUUUUGUCCGGUGGAUAAAGAUAGUAGGAAUGUAGCUCCCCCGGGAGUGUUAUAGACUAUUAUUGCAUACACUGGGUGAGACUGAGGACUGCAGCUCGCCUUUUGGCCGGUCUUCGGACACGUUCGAGCUUAGGAUGUUGACAUAAUGGCUUUAAACGACCCGUCUUGAAACACGGACCAAG
rnacentral:rRNA from 1 species